GAUGAAGAACGUAGCGAAAUGCGAUAAGUAAUGUGAAUUGCAGAAUUCAGUGAAUCAUCGAAUCUUUGAACGCACAUUGCGCCCGCCAGUAUUCUGGCGGGCAUGCCUGUUCGAGCGUCAUUACAACCCUCAGGCCCCCGGGCCUGGCGUUGGGGAUCGGCGGAGCCCCCCGUGGGCACACGCCGUCCCCCAAAUGCAGUGGCGGUCCCGCCGCAGCUUCCAUCGCGUAGUAGCUAACACCUCGCGACUGGAGAGCGGCGCGGCCACGCCGUAAAACACCCAACUCUUCUGAAGUUGACCUCGAAUCAGGUAGGAAUACCCGCUGAACUUAAGCAUAUCAAUAAGCGGAGGAA
rnacentral:misc_RNA from 1 species